rnacentral:lncRNA from 1 species
AAAUACAUGCAGUUUCAUUUUACUUUAAUUAUUCUAGCAUGUAUGAGAAUAUCAAGUCAUGCAAACUUAGUUUAAUGAUUAAUCAUACUAACAUACGACAAACAAACAUAAAAUGUACAUAUCUCGAGCAUUGGAACCACUUAGCAAUUUUUUCCAAAAAAUGUUACGUAGGUAUCAAUACCGCUACUAUGAUACCGAUAUUUCCUUUAAGUGGUAUCGAUACCAUUGGGAAAAUCGAUACCAAACUAGUAUUUUGUUUCUCACCAAAUUUUAAAACAUCAAAAAAUAUCGGUACCUUUCACAAGGUAUCGAUAAUUACACCCCGAGUACCGAUACUCGGACCAAGGUAUCGAUACCAAAUUUAUAUUCUGACUCCCUACACUUUCAACAAUAAAGAGGUAUCAUUCUAAAAGCCUUAAUAUUGAUACAUCUGCUUCAAAUUACAAAAAUUCAGCAUAUAAGAGCAUUUAAACCAUUCAAACUUAGUCCCUAAACAUCAUACUUCUAUCCUUUAGUCACAUAUGCAUCAAAAUGUUUAAACAAUAAACCAAACACCACGUCCAAGUUCAUAAGCUUCCCAACAUAUGCAAUAUACAAAUAAUCCCCAAAACAUCUUAAUAAACCGAUAUAAAUGUCUACCACAUUGCCUUUUUAUUCCCUAGAACUAGAAUAAGCAAAACUCCUACUGUGAUGAGUAAAGAAUGGCUUGGAUCAAUCCCUCGACAGCCACACCUCUCACACCGGGAACACAACUACUCUACAAAGGAUAAAAUGGAGUGGGUGAGCUUAAUAAGCUCAGUGAAUGCCUAGAACAACCACUACGCAAACAAGUCGUCAGGCAUCAACCAAACAACAUACAACAUAUUCCCAAAACAUCCUUAACUAAGUGUCAGGAUUCACAUAUUUAGUCAUAUUCCAUGCAUUCUUUUACACGUUAUUUAUACGAACAUUUAGGCAUACAUAUACCAAUUUCUGACACAAAUCAAUCACAUAUAAGCACAUAUAAUUACAUUAGUCACAAUAUAUGAUAUUUUGGCUCUUGAGAUUAUGAAACAUAAAGUUGACUCUAUCACCACUCAUCGGAUACACGGAUCUCCAACACACAACAAAUAAACUCGUAGAGUCAAACAUAUCCCAUAAGUGAAGCAUAUAGCUAACAUUCUCCAACACACCACACAUACAUAUCCCAGUGAAUGGAGCUCGACUCACAUUCCCUUAUCUCUCCAAAACUAUCACUGGGCCUCAACAACUCAUAUAUCACAACACAAAUAAGUGAGUACUCACAAUCCUGUGACAUGCCAACUAUAUCCGACGGUUUCAUCAAGUCAAAAGGCCAAAAUAUUCAUAAUGUCAUCAAAUAUUACUUACCGAUUAUCCGCAUGUAUUCACCGCAUAAUCAUAUCAUUAACACAUUAUACACACUAUCACAUAACAUGAAUAACAUACCAUCAUAUUUACAGUCACAACAGUCAUCCCAAUAUGUUCAUAUUUCAUCACAUUAUAAUCCUCUUUAUCAUAAUUCACAACCAUGUUUAUCACAUAUUUAGCAUACGUAAAAGAACACUUACACUCGAAAUUUAGAAAAGCGGUUUAGGCUAUCUCUAAAUUCCCAAAUACACAACGGAUCUCUUACGAGCAGCUAUUCCAAAACACUCACCAAUUAGGCUUUCCUCGAAAAGCCGAAAGCUUAAACUAGUUUUUCCUUGUCUUUCACCUUGCUCGUAGAAGGUUCCAAUGGUUCUGAUGCUCUACACAUAUUAACCACACAAUAUCCACAAUCAAAAUUUAGCCAAAUACUCACUUAAACCAACCAAAAACACAAGCAUAAGCUAUAUUUCUCAAGAAACUGAAAUUUCGACUAACAAACUUGAAACUCAAAUAUCUCGGUCUAUACUUAAUCUUUUUUUUCCUAAAACAAAUUCCAUUCAUCUAAUUAUUCACCUAUGACUGAUUCUCAACCUUUAAAUUACUCAAUUCAUAGUAUCAAAAUUUUCAACAUGUUUAUGGCAAUUUUCACGAAAAUUUAUCAAGUCCUUAGAAAUCCUUAACGAAACUUUAAAGUAAGUUUAGAAACAUUCUAGUCAUAUUAAAAAUAAUUGAAAAACACUUUGAAAUCACGUUUUUAUCCACAAACCCAAAAUUCACCAUUAAUGACCCGAUUUUUGGCUUUUAUUAAGAACAUGUGUUUUAACAGCUAAAAACUUAGUUUUAAAUACUAGAUAACAUUAAAAACUCAUAAGGAAUUGAAUCAUUACCUUAGAUGAAGAAAAUCUAUACGUUUGAUCGAAAACCCGAAAAACCCAAAAACUUGACAAUGGAGGAACUAUGAUAUUUUUUGGUGUUUUUCUUGGUCUUUUAUAGAGGUUUAAGGUUUAAGG